UAGCAAUGUUAAUAAUAGGAGAAAUUUGGUGUACAGUGUGUGCAAGCUCUACAAUACUUUCAUUUUUUUUGCAAAUGUCAAACUGUGUGUGUGUGUGUGUGUGUGUGUGUGUGUGGUGCUGGGGAUUGAACCCAGGGCCUUGUGUGUGCAAGGCAAGCACUCUAGCUAA
rnacentral:sRNA from 1 species